rnacentral:rRNA from 1 species
UGCAAGUCGAGGGGCAUCGGGAAGAAAGCUUGCUUUCUUUGCCGGCGACCGGCGCACGGGUGAGUAACACGUAUCCAACCUGCCCUUUACUCGGGGAUAGCCUUUCGAAAGAAAGAUUAAUACCCGAUGGCAUAAUGAUUCCGCAUGGUUUCAUUAUUAAAGGAUUCCGGUAAAGGAUGGGGAUGCGUUCCAUUAGGUUGUUGGUGAGGUAACGGCCCACCAAGCCUUCGAUGGAUAGGGGUUCUGAGAGGAAGGUCCCCCACAUUGGAACUGAGACACGGUCCAAACUCCUACGGGAGGCAGCAGUGAGGAAUAUUGGUCAAUGGGCGCUAGCCUGAACCAGCCAAGUAGCGUGAAGGAUGAAGGCUCUAUGGGUCGUAAACUUCUUUUAUAUAAGAAUAAAGUGCAGUAUGUAUACUGUUUUGUAUGUAUUAUAUGAAUAAGGAUCGGCUAACUCCGUGCCAGCAGCCGCGGUAAUACGGAGGAUCCGAGCGUUAUCCGGAUUUAUUGGGUUUAAAGGGAGCGUAGGUGGACUGGUAAGUCAGUUGUGAAAGUUUGCGGCUCAACCGUAAAAUUGCAGUUGAUACUGUCAGUCUUGAGUACAGUAGAGGUGGGCGGAAUUCGUGGUGUAGCGGUGAAAUGCUUAGAUAUCACGAAGAACUCCGAUUGCGAAGGCAGCUCACUGGACUGCAACUGACACUGAUGCUCGAAAGUGUGGGUAUCAAACAGGAUUAGAUACCCUGGUAGUCCACACAGUAAACGAUGAAUACUCGCUGUUUGCGAUAUACAGUAAGCGGCCAAGCGAAAGCAUUAAGUAUUCCACCUGGGGAGUACGCCGGCAACGGUGAAACUCAAAGGAAUUGACGGGGGCCCGCACAAGCGGAGGAACAUGUGGUUUAAUUCGAUGAUACGCGAGGAACCUUACCCGGGCUUAAAUUGCAGUGGAAUGAUGUGGAAACAUGUCAGUGAGCAAUCACCGCUGUGAAGGUGCUGCAUGGUUGUCGUCAGCUCGUGCCGUGAGGUGUCG